rnacentral:rRNA from 1 species
UACGGAAGGCAGCAGUGGGGAAUAUUGCACAAUGGGCGAAAGCCUGAUGCAGCUAUGCCGCGUGUAUGAAGAAGGCCUUAGGGUUGUAAAGUACUUUCAUCGGGGAGGAAAAAACAAAACUAAUAAUUUUAUUUCUUGACGUUACCCGAAAAAGAAGCACCGGCUAACUCCGUGCCAGCAGCCGCGGUAAUACGGAGGGUGCUAGCGUUAAUCAGAAUUACUGGGCGUAAAGAGCACGUAGGUGGUUUUUUUAAGUCAGAUGUGAAAUCCCUGGGCUUAACCUAGGAACUGCAUUUUGAAACUGAAAUACUAGAGUAUCGUAGAGGGAGGUAGAAUUCUAGGUGUAGCGGUGAAAUGCGUAGAUAUCUGGAGGAAUACCUGUGGCGAAAGCGGCCUCCUAAACGAAUACUGACACUGAGGUGCGAAAAGCGUGGGGAGCAAAACAGGGAUUAAGGAUACC